AAUUAUCACAUUGAGUAUUUAGUUUAUACGCGUUAGGUAAAUGAUAUACAGACAAGGAGUUGUCACGAAUAAUAAAAACUUUUGCAUUUAGAUGACUUGUGCUUCCACAAACUUGUUAAAGGUCGUCUCGUUACUGAAAGUUUCUGUGAGACUCCGAAUGAACAAGGUGGGAAUAUGUAUUGAAUAGCACAUUUUUGUCAUAAUUUUUCUGAAAUUUCCAUUUUUUUUUCUAUUUACAACAGAAAUUAUCACACAACUGCGAAAUAAUGUAGAAGCUGCAAAGGAAAGGGAGAAACUCAAAUCCUGGUAUAAAGCAAGCAACAACUUUUACUACAAAAAGUUUUUGGACCAGGUAUCUUAUGCGACUGCCAAAGCAAACUGUCAAGAAAAAAAGGCAAAUUUAGCUUCCGUUGGUGUUCGCGAUUCUUCAGUAAGAAAUCAUUUAAUCAGUCUUGCCAGUGGUGAAAAUGUGUGGAUUGGAUUGAAUGAUAUUGAAAAUGAAGGCAACUUUAUUUGGGAGGAUGGCGUCGUUUCCACCGCAGAUAAUACUCCUUGGAUAGAUCCACAACCUGAUAACGCUGCGGGAAAUGAAGAUUGCGUCCAUUUGACGGAAAAUUCAUUAAAUGACUAUGAUUGUUCUGGAUUAUUACCGUAUAUAUGUGAAAAAUUUGUUUGAGCACAAACUGAUUCUUUGUAUCAUCAAUAGAUGUUGAGUACCGGUAAUUAGUAUUUUGGCUUUAAAUUGGUUAUAUAAUUCAUUCGGUAAUUAAAUUAAUGAUUAUCUGCAUCGAGACUUUCAAUAAAUGUUGAGGUUUCGUUUUACUUUAUUGAUUAUUUAUUUUAUAAUAUUCAAUAGCUGUAUCUACUUUUGAAU